GAUGAGCGCUGGCGGCGUGCCUAAUACAUGCAAGUCGAGCGAACGGACGAGAAGCUUGCUUCUCUGAUGUUAGCGGCGGACGGGUGAGUAACACGUGGAUAACCUACCUAUAAGACUGGGAUAACUUCGGGAAACCGGAGCUAAUACCGGAUAAUAUUUUGAACCGCAUGGUUCAAAAGUGAAAGACGGUCUUGCUGUCACUUAUAGAUGGAUCCGCGCUGCAUUAGCUAGUUGGUAAGGUAACGGCUUACCAAGGCAACGAUGCAUAGCCGACCUGAGAGGGUGAUCGGCCACACUGGAACUGAGACACGGUCCAGACUCCUACGGGAGGCAGCAGUAGGGAAUCUUCCGCAAUAGGCGAAAGCCUGACGGAGCAACGCCGCGUGAGUGAUGAAGGUCUUCGGAUCGUAAAACUCUGUUAUUAGGGAAGAACAUAUGUGUAAGUAACUGUGCACAUCUUGACGGUACCUAAUCAGAAAGCCACGGCUAACUACGUGCCAGCAGCCGCGGUAAUACGUAGGUGGCAAGCGUUAUCCGGAAUUAUUGGGCGUAAAGCGCGCGUAGGCGGUUUUUUAAGUCUGAUGUGAAAGCCCACGGCUCAACCGUGGAGGGUCAUUGGAAACUGGAAAACUUGAGUGCAGAAGAGGAAAGUGGAAUUCCAUGUGUAGCGGUGAAAUGCGCAGAGAUAUGGAGGAACACCAGUGGCGAAGGCGACUUUCUGGUCUGUAACUGACGCUGAUGUGCGAAAGCGUGGGGAUCAAACAGGAUUAGAUACCCUGGUAGUCCACGCCGUAAACGAUGAGUGCUAAGUGUUAGGGGGUUUCCGCCCCUUAGUGCUGCAGCUAACGCAUUAAGCACUCCGCCUGGGGAGUACGACCGCAAGGUUGAAACUCAAAGGAAUUGACGGGGACCCGCACAAGCGGUGGAGCAUGUGGUUUAAUUCGAAGCAACGCGAAGAACCUUACCAAAUCUUGACAUCCUUUGACAACUCUAGAGAUAGAGCUUUCCCCUUCGGGGGACAAAAUGACAGGUGGUGCAUGGUUGUCGUCAGCUCGUGUCGUGAGAUGUUGGGUUAAGUCCCGCAACGAGCGCAACCCUUAAGCUUAGUUGCCAUCAUUAAGUUGGGCACUCUAAGUUGACUGCCGGUGACAAACCGGAGGAAGGUGGGGAUGACGUCAAAUCAUCAUGCCCCUUAUGAUUUGGGCUACACACGUGCUACAAUGGACAAUACAAAGGGCAGCGAAACCGCGAGGUCAAGCAAAUCCCAUAAAGUUGUUCUCAGUUCGGAUUGUAGUCUGCAACUCGACUACAUGAAGCUGGAAUCGCUAGUAAUCGUAGAUCAGCAUGCUACGGUGAAUACGUUCCCGGGUCU
rnacentral:rRNA from 1 species